GACGGAGAGAGACAGGGACAGAGACAGAGACGGAGACAGAGACGGAGAGAGACAGGGACAGAGACAGAGACGGAGGGGGACAUAGAGAGACACAGAGCGAGAGAGAGAAAGAGAGGCCCAGCUUGCCGAUAAAGGAGAUGCUGGUAGAGAGACCGGUUGUUGACGAUUGCGGCGGAACCUACCGGAAUACACAGGGACCAAAGAUGGUGGCCAAGUUCUCCAUUGGCAUCUGAUUUGAUUGGCUGUGAGACGCCACUCUGGAAAGGAAGUGGAUGAGGCUUGUGCCUUCACCUUGCCACCGGUUCUCUCAGUACCUGCGAUGCCCGACAGAAGCUGCCUGCGGUGGGCCUCCGGGACCAGGGGGAUGGGGAGCUCCCGGAAGAACAGCUUGAGCAGCGAGGCCACUGUGGGCACG